GACGAACGCUGGCGGCGUGCUCAACACAUGCAAGUCGAACGAAGAGCGAUGGAAGCUUGCUUCUAUCAAUCUUAGUGGCGAACGGGUGAGUAACGCGUAAUCAACCUGCCCUUCAGAGGGGGACAACAGUUGGAAACGACUGCUAAUACCGCAUACGAUCUAAUCUCGGCAUCGAGGAUAGAUGAAAGGUGGCCUCUACAUGUAAGCUAUCACUGAAGGAGGGGAUUGCGUCUGAUUAGCUAGUUGGAGGGGUAACGGCCCACCAAGGCGAUGAUCAGUAGCCGGUCUGAGAGGAUGAACGGCCACAUUGGCACUGAGACACGGCCCAGACUCCUACGGGAGGCAGCAGUGGGGAAUCUUCCGCAAUGGACGAAAGUCUGACGGAGCAACGCCGCGUGAGUGAUGACGGCCUUCGGGUUGUAAAGCUCUGUUAAUCGGGACGAAAGGCCUUCUUGCGAAUAGUGAGAAGGAUUGACGGUACCGGAAUAGAAAGCCACGGCUAACUACGUG
rnacentral:rRNA from 1 species